GACGAACGCUGGCGGCGUGCUUAACACAUGCAAGUCGAACGGAAAGGCCCUGCUUUUGUGGGGUGCUCGAUUGGCGAACGGGUGAGUAACACGUGAGUAACCUGCCCUUGACUUUGGGAUAACUUCAGGAAACUGGGGCUAAUACCGUAUAGGAGCUCCUGCUGCAUGGUGGGGGUUGGAAAGUUUCGGCGGUCGGGGAUGGACUCGCGGCUUAUCAGCUUGUUGGUGGGGUAGUGGCUUACCAAGGCUUUGACGGGUAGCCGGCCUGAGAGGGUGACCGGCCACAUUGGGACUGAGAUACGGCGCAGACUCCUACGGGAGGCAGCAGUGGGGAAUAUUGCACAAUGGGCGGAAGCCUGAUGCAGCAACGCCGCGUGCGGGAUGACGGCCUUCGGGUUGUAAACCGCUUUCGCCUGUGACGAAGCGUGAGUGACGGUAAUGGGUAAAGAAGCACCGGCUAACUACGUG
rnacentral:rRNA from 1 species